UACGUAGGGGGCAAGCGUUGUCCGGAAUCAUUGGGCGUAAAGAGCGUGUAGGCGGCUCAGUAAGUCCGCUCUGAAAGCCCGGGGGCUCAACCCCGGGAGGCGGGUGGAUACUGCUGAGCUUGAGUCCGGAAGAGGCGAGUGGAAUUCCCCGGUGUAGCGGUGAAAUGCGCAGAUAUCGGGGAGGAACACCAAUGGCGAAGGCAGCUCGCUGGGACGUGACUGACGCUGGAGACGGCGAAAAGCGUGGGGGAGCAA
rnacentral:rRNA from 1 species